CCGUGCUAGAUGGGGAGGUAGCGGUGCCCUGUAGCCUGCAAUCCGCUGUAGCAGGAUCGAAUUCCUUAUUUAGGUACUGGUAUGUAGGGUCUGACCUUGACAAGUGGUGUUGAAGAUUGGGUCCCGCGCAACGAAAAUUCAUGAACCUCGUCAGGUCCGGAAGGAAGCAGCGAUAAGUGAACCCUUUCGUGUGCCGUGGGGAUGCCUGGUCGGAGCUAACUGUCGAGGUAACGCCUGGAUAUCUAGCAUCGAUGUAAGGUGCACGG
rnacentral:SRP_RNA from 1 species